rnacentral:rRNA from 1 species
GACGAACGCUGGCGGCGUGCUUAACACAUGCAAGUCGAGCGGUAAGGCCCUUUCGGGGGUACACGAGCGGCGAACGGGCGAGUAACACGUGGGUGACCUGCCCUCAGCUCUGGGAUAAGCCUGGGAAACCGGGUCUAAUACUGGAUAUGACUCCAUGACGCAUGUUGUGGGGUGGAAAGCCUUGUGCGGCUGAGGAUGGGCCCGCGGCCUAUCAGCUUGUUGGUGGGGUGANGGCCUACCAAGGCGACGACGGGUAGCCGGCUUGAGAGGGCGACCGGCCACACUGGGACUGAGACACGGCCCAGACUCCUACGGGAGGCAGCAGUGGGGAAUCUUGUGCAAUGGGCGAAAGCCUGACGCAGCGACGCCGCGUGAGGGAUGACGGCCUGGUGUAACU